UACGUAGGGUGCAAGCGUUGUCCGGAAUUAUUGGGCGUAAAGAGCUCGUAGGCGGUCUGUCGCGUCGGCUGUGAAAACCCGGAGCUCAACUCCGGGCCUGCAGUCGAUACGGGCAGACUGGAGUUCGGCAGGGGAGACUGGAAUUCCUGGUGUAGCGGUGAAAUGCGUAGAUAUCAGGAGGAACACCGGUGGUGUAAACGGCUUUCUGGACCAUAACUGACGCUGAUGCACGAAAGCGUGGGUAGCAAACAGG
rnacentral:rRNA from 1 species